UAGCCUAGUGGUUAAGGCUAUGGAUCACUAAUCCGGAGACGGCGGGUUCGAUUCCCGU
rfam:Aedes albopictus isolate Foshan contig116037, whole genome shotgun sequence.